rnacentral:lncRNA from 1 species
GUACUUCUGCUCUGCCGUGUAAUACAUUUCCCUAGAGCUGGAAGUGACAAUGGACUGCCUUGCUUCCUUAAGAGGAGACAGACCACAGACCGUCUUGCUUCCAGCUCUUUGGCAAGGUGAUAAAGAACGCGCUUUCCACGAGGCUCUUACAGCCUACCAGGAACCCCUCAUACAAGGAGCUGAAAUGCAGUUUGUUUCCAACCAUGAUCUCACCACUUUGCAACGUCUUCUCUAAGCCAUGUCCCACAUUACUCUAGAGAUGGAAGACACACAGCUCUGAGUAAUUGUCGCCAAAGGAGACAAGCCACAAACGGUCUUGCUUCCAGCUCUUUGGGAAGCUAAGAAACAAGCCUCUCUCCACAGUGCUCUUACAGCUACCGGGAACAUCUCUCACAAAGAUCUGUGAAACCCAGUUUCUUCCCAUCCCUAAUCUCGCUGAAGUAGAACUUCUGCUCUGCCGUGUCCUACAUUGCUCUAGAGGUGGAAGUCACAAAGGGCUGAGUCAUGCCUCCAAAGGAGACAAGCCAGAAACGGUCUUGGUUCCAGCUCUCGGAAGCUAAGAAACAACUUGCUCUCCAUAGUGCCCUUACAGCCUACCGGUAACAUCUCUCACAAAUGCCUUUGAAAUGCAGUUUCUUUCCAGCCCUGGACACCCUGAAGUAGACCUUGUGCUCUGCCGUGUCCUAAUUUGCCCUAAAGUUGCAAGGCACAAAGUCGGGCCUUCCUUCUUCAAGGGGAGACAGGCCACAAAGCGUCUUGCAUCCAGCUCUUUGAGAAGCUAAGAAACUACUCCCUCUGCACAGUGCUCUUUAGGUCUACCAGGAUCAUUUCUUACAGACGCCUGGGAAAUGCAGUUUCUUCCCAGCCCCCAUCUUGCCGAAGUAGAACUUCUGCUCUGCCGUGUCCCACAUUGACCUAGAGAUGCACGGGACAAAGACCUGCCUUGUUUCCUCAAGGGGAGACAGGCCACAGACCAUCUUGCUUCCAGCUCUUUCACAAGCUAAGAAACACCUCGCUCUCCUCAGUGCUCUUACAGCCUACCAGGUACAUGUCUCACAAAGACCUGUGAAACGCAGUUUCUUCCCAGGCCUGAACUCACUGAAGUAGAAAUUCUGCUCUGCCGUGUCCUACAUUGCCC